GACGAACGCUGGCGGCGUGCUUAACACAUGCAAGUCGAACGGUGAAGCGCUUUCCUUUUUGGUUGGUGUGGAUGAGUGGCGAACGGGUGAGUAACACGUGAGUAACCUGCCCCCUUCUUCUGGAUAACCGCAUGAAAGUGUGGCUAAUACGGGAUAUUCUGCGCCUGCUGCAUGGUGGGUGUGGGAAAGAUUGUGCCUUUGGGUGUUUUCGGUGGGGGAUGGGCUCGCGGCCUAUCAGCUUGUUGGUGGGGUGAUGGCCUACCAAGGCGGUGACGGGUAGCCGGCCUGGGGGGGUGGACGGUCACACUGGGACUGAGACACGGCCCAGACUCCUACGGGAGGCAGCAGUGGGGAAUAUUGCACAAUGGGCGCAAGCCUGAUGCAGCGACGCCGCGUGAGGGAGGGAGGCCUUCGGGUUGUGAACCUCUUUCGCCAGUGAAGCAGGCCUGCUCCUUGUGGGUGGGUUGACGGUAGCUGGAGAAGAAGCGCCGGCUAACUACGUG
rnacentral:rRNA from 1 species